rnacentral:rRNA from 1 species
UAAUACAGAGGGGGCAAGCGUUAUUCGGAAUUAUUGGGCGUAAAGGGCGCGUAGGCGGCCUGGCAAGUGGAAGGUGAAAUCCCUCGGCUUAACCGAGGAACUGCCUCCCAAACUGCUUGGCUUGAGACCGGGAGAGGUGAGUGGAAUUCCCAGUGUAGCGGUGAAAUGCGUAGAUAUUGGGAGGAACACCAGUG